rnacentral:tRNA from 1 species
GCCUGCGUGAUGGAAUUGGUAGACGUAACGGACUUAAAAUCCGUCGAGCACAAGCUCGUGCCGGUUCAAGUCCGGCCGUGGGCACCA